AGGCAGGGGUACUUUGGAGUUUUCGGAUAUUUGUCCUAGGAAUGAUAGGUAGACACGUAACUCUAUGCUUCUAGACCAGAUUUAAAGAUCCUUUAUGUGUGUCUGGUGUAGAUGGGAAUAUGAACAAAUGAGGAAAGUGAGGUGAAGCACAGAAAAAAUGUUAGUAAUUUUGUCAAUUUGCACCAAACCAAGCAUUCAUGUCCAACAAUAUAAAAGCCCUAGAAUUUUCUAUUUUUUUUUAGUCCUUUCGUAUUUCUUCAAAAUUCGGCUAUUCUUUUUCCCUUUUUGUUUUUUAUACAUUUUAAGUGGUGGAGAAGAUGAAUUUUGUUUGUACAGGAUAUUUUAGCUAGAAUGAUGUCCAAAAUUCUAAUUGGAUGAUAAUGAGAUUAGGAUUUAAAGCUAGUUAAUAUUAGAUUAUAUAACUGCAAUCAAAGUCUUUUUCUUUGUGAUAAUGGAUCAACAUGAUCUACAAAUAUAUCUCUUAAAUUGUCAAUCUAUCUAUAUAUAAUAUAAAGCUAGGCAUAGAUAAGGUGAUGUGACAACUCUCUAUUGCUAGCAUUGAUAUUUAUCUUUUGUCUCAAUUUUUUGCCUUUUAAACUUUAUUUUUCAUCUAAAAAAAAGAAGCAAUUUAAUGUUAUAAUAAGGUGUUAUAUGUCGAUCCCACAUCCUCUUAUUAUUAAACCCCAUCAAAUCGCAUUAUUUCAUCAAAUGUAACGCUGCUUGUAUUCUCUGUUUAUGCAUCCACGUUCAUUCCCCAUUAAUACUCAUUACUUCACUCAAAGUUUGAGGUGAAUCUUUAUAAGUGAUGUCAAAAGAAUUCUAGAAGAGGAUGUGGUCUGUUUGAGUCAAAAAAUGUAUUUUGCCCAAAUAGUUAAAUUUGUAUUGAAAGUUAAAUAAGGUUAACCACAGCUGGUAGUAAUUUGAUAAAAAUGGUUGAAUUAACACAAGCAAGUUAUUCAAAAAUUGAUAAAGAAUAAGUAAAUAAAAAGAAAGAGUGAACUUAUGCCAAUUGUGAUGAAUAGUAGUAACGAAUUUCUCCUUUGCCCAGAAUGAAUAAGAACUUGAUGAUAAAAGAAUUGCUUGCAGUAAUAAUAAGUAGAAAGUAAUCAAGAAUAAUCUAUUUUUCAGUCAGUAUUCGAUGGCUAGAUAUACAAGCGAAAGUACUUUUUACAGGUAUUUGGUCCUCUCUGGUGCCUUUCCCAUUGUGUGUAUGUAACGGCGAUCAUUAAUUGCUUAAUUAAUGAUUGUCAUUUAAUUCCUUGAUUCUGGCUGUUAGAAACCGUUUCGCCGUUACUGCAUUAACUCUAUUUAAUGUGUAAUCAAGAGGGUCUCAUAUGUUGUUCCCGUUGAUGUUCUCUUCGUUGACCAUGUCAUCAGUAUCAGCUGCCUUUCCGUAAAUGCUAUGCUCGGCAUUACCAUUAGAUCUUUCUACGCCAUUAUUUUUUAUUGACACGUGUCAGUCACAUAUUGGUCCACGUGCUAGACGCGAUUUUUACCCAUACAUGCUCACCAAGAGCAAUGCUGCUUAGCCAUUUCAUUUGCUAAUCCUAAUUUGCUUGAAGUGAAAGAUUCUUAGCUUUCAACCAAACUUGGAUUCGUGGAAGCUUCUCAAAUGAGGCAAGUUUUCUGGAGAUAAGAAGGUAUGCAUAUAAUGAUUAUAACGAGUGAUGAUGCUGAGAAAUUAAUGGAUUUCUUUUGUUCAAGUGAGUGCUACACAUAAUUACUCUUCUUCUAUACGAAUUAGUCUUUUGAAUUACCCUAUAUAUAAGGUUUAAUCUCAUAUUCCUGAACCCUUAACUAAAAAUUUCGGGUUAGAGCUCUGGGAAUGAAGUCGUUUUUAAUAAGAAAUACAUUAUCUAAAGUGAUAUUACCAUGCAUGAAUUCGAUUAACCCAUCCAAAUUAGUACUGGAUGGAUAAAAAAGAUAGUAUAAUCUCUAAACAAUUUUAAUUUGGUUGUAGUGUUACACCGCAACAAUGCAAAAGUGAUUUCUAAAUCAGAGGCCGCAAACAAAGUUUUGCAGAGGCUCCAAUAACACCCAUAUCUUUUUAGUUACCCCUACUGUAAGGUUAAUUCUCCAUCUCUUACUAUAUAAAAAUAUCCUCAUUAUGGGACUUCGAUCUCACUUGUAAAUAACGGUGGAUUGAAGAGUUCAGAUGAAGGUGCAACAUUUUUUAUGUGUCUGAUUCUUUUUACAUGGCCGCAUUGUGUACUUAAAUACUAGGAGAGGAGCCAAAGAUUCAAAGAAAGGCGGUGAAGGGUAAAUUAUGAGAAGGCGACGAGUGAUUUGGAGGAGAGAUGAACGGAAAAUAUUAAAAAGGGGGAAACACAUGGAAUAAAGAAAAUUUUGAAAAGAAGAUAAGAUAAGUUUUACAAAAAAUCUUCUUUAAUGAAGUGUUUUCUUUUCAUAAAAAUUCUGAAGUAAAAGAAAAUAGUUAUGUGGUGAUUGUAAUGUCAUGGCUACUUCUUUUUAUUUUUCCUUAAGAUUAUGUUGGGUUUUAUUUUUUAAUUUCGGUUUUAAAUAUAAGUUUGUGAAAUGUUUUUGAGUUGAAAUUAUAUGCUUCACUUUUAGAUGGUGUGAUACCUUUCUAUGGACAAUAUUGGUAUUUUUUUUAUUAUAAAAAUUAUGAUGUUUAUAUUAUUUAGUAGCAUAUUUGUGUGAUUUUUAAUUUUUGCAGCUGCGCGAAGCGCGGAUAACUACACUAGUUAUAUAAGUUACACUAUUUAUAUAAGUAAGGAGCGCUUUAGAGGGAUUUACUGUGAGUCAUUUCACUCAGGAAAAAUAAAGAAAGGAUAAUCAAUUGUUUAAGUUGUCAAUAAUUUUUAAAAUAAAUAAUUUGAUUACAGAAAGGCCUAGUAAGAUCCGCUCGAGGUUAUCUUUCUCUUAAUUCAAUCAAUAGCAGCUGUAAAAUUGCUAAUCAA